rnacentral:ncRNA from 1 species
ACAAGCGCCAGCGCCCGCGAAGAGAUCGCGGGACGACGAGGAGGGAAGAGGAUCGAAUCUUCGGCGGAUGCUUCCCCGUGCCCGUGGGCGCGUACACAGCCGGCAAAUAUGCGGGCGACCGCAAAACAAAGGGGCUGUG